AGAAGGAAGCGUUUUCGACCCCAUAAAGUAUAUAUGUUCUUGAUCAGGACCAUUAGCCGAGUCGAUUAGAUUUAACCUUCUGAAAGCCUACUUUUUCAGUCUGGUUAACCCCCGCAGACUUCUAGCUAAAAUCGAGCUUAUUAAGGAUAACAUUGCCUACCUGGUGCUGGUGGAUCCGAUGAAUGUAUAAAGAAUGUGAACAAGAUAACAUUGCCUACCUGGUGCUGGUGAAUCCUAUGAAUGUAUAAAGAAUGUAAGCAAGUUACUGAUAAACAGUGGUUGGGGGCGUCGUAGCCUUACACCUUAGAUAUCAUCUUACAAUUUUCCCACUGUUAAAAUUCAAACAACACUUUGAAAUAAGUCUGCAUACAGUCAAAUAAUAUUGUAUUUCGCUCUAUGAACAUUUUAUAUAAUUUGAUUGUUCCAAGGCCUUUAUGAACAUUUAACUUUAAGACUAACCGAUUGGCUUUUGGAAAAAUAAGACAACCAUAAAAGUGA